rnacentral:rRNA from 1 species
CACGUAGGGUGCGAGCGUUGUCCGGAAUUAUUGGGCGUAAAGAGCUCGUAGGCGGUGUGUCGCGUCGGCCGUGAAAACCUGCAGCUUAACUGUGGGCGUGCGGUCGAUACGGGCAUCACUGGAGUUCGGCAGGGGAGACUGGAAUUCCUGGUGUAGCGGUGAAAUGCGCAGAUAUCAGGAGGAACACCGGUGGCGAAGGCGGGUCUCUGGGCCGACACUGACGCUGAGGCGCGAAAGCGUGGGGAGCAAACAGG